rnacentral:rRNA from 1 species
UACGGAGGGUGCAAGCGUUAUCCGGAUUUACUGGGUUUAAAGGGUGCGUAGGCGGGCUUUUAAGUCAGUGGUGAAAACUUCCAGCUUAACUGGAAAACUGCCAUUGAUACUAUUAGUCUUGAAUUUAGUUGAGGUUGGCGGAAUGUGUCGUGUAGCGGUGAAAUGCUUAGAUAUGACACAGAACACCGAUUGCGAAGGCAGCUGGCUAAACUAAAAUUGACGCUGAGGCACGAAAGUGUGGGGAUCAAACAGG